rnacentral:lncRNA from 1 species
AAUAUUCGAUGUGAUGAGAAAUCUAAAAAAUUUUGCAAAAUUUUUUGAAACUAAACAAGGCCCAACAGCCGUACUACUACCCGUGCGUCGCCGGCAGCGGCGCGUGCGACGAGACGCGACGGCCGACAGGCACAGUGCGGCGGGGCGGCGCCAUUAAUAAAUGCUCGCUUGCUUGUCCUGCACCGCCCUCCUUGUGCCGCUGUGACUGUGAGCGUGACCCCAUUGGCUCUCUCUGCUCUCUGACACGACGGCUCACUACCGCCUGCGGCUGCGAGGGUGGGCCGGGCAGCUGGUCGGCGAUCGACCGCAGAGGGACCACCCCGGCCGGCUUGCACGCCACUCGAGGAGAAGCCACCGCUCUCUCCGCCUGCUGUGCCUGCCUGCCUUCCUCUCCUGGACGACGGUGGACUCGUGGUCGCGGAUGCACUCGCCGUGAACGAAGGCCCGUGAGUUCACACUCAAAUUCUAAAAAAAAAAAAAUUAAGAUUCUCUAUCCGUGACCAAGCUACAACAAAUUUAAAAAUUACACUUAAUUUAUAGGUGUACAGAUGUUUUCAUAUAGUACAUAUAUGAUAAAAUUUUGAAUCUAAUCACUAUUUUUAUAUUUUUUUGGAUGCAUUGGCACUCUAUAAUAACAACGUAGCUUCGCCUCUGUUUUCUAUCACAUCAAAUUUUUAAACGUAUGCAUUAAAUAUUAAAUAUAUAUGUAUAUAAAGAUAACUAAUUACACAUUUUGUGUGUAAGACGAAUAUUUUGAGCAUAGUUAGUCUAUAAUUGAAUAAUAAUUAUCAAAUACAAACGAAAGUACUACAAUAGCCA